GGGUUACGGAGUUUCACUCCCAAACCCCUGUGAACAUACCACUUGUUGCCUCGGCGGAUCAGCCCGCUCCCGGUAAAACGGGACGGCCCGCCAGAGGACCCCUAAAACUCUGUUUCUAUAUGUAACUUCUGAGUAAAACCAUAAAUAAAUCAAAACUUUCAACAACGGAUCUCUUGGUUCUGGCAUCGAUGAAGAACGCAGCAAAAUGCGAUAAGUAAUGUGAAUUGCAGAAUUCAGUGAAUCAUCGAAUCUUUGAACGCACAUUGCGCCCGCCAGUAUUCUGGCGGGCAUGCCUGUUCGAGCGUCAUUUCAACCCUCAAGCACAGCUUGGUGUUGGGACUCGCGUUAAUUCGCGUUCCUCAAAUUGAUUGGCGGUCACGUCGAGCUUCCAUAGCGUAGUAGUAAAACCCUCGUUACUGGUAAUCGUCGCGGCCACGCCGUUAAACCCCAACUUCUGAAUGUUGACCUCGGAUCAGGUAGGAAUACCCGCUGAACUUAAGCAUAUCAAUAA
rnacentral:rRNA from 1 species